rnacentral:rRNA from 1 species
CUACACGACCGUACCGCAAACCGACACUGGUGCGCGAGAUGAGUAUUCUAAGGCGCUUGAGAGAACUCAGGAGAAGGAACUCGGCAAAUUGACACCGUAACUUCGGAAGAAGGUGUGCCUUUAGUAGGUGAACCUGUACAAGGGGAGCCCAAUGAGGUUGCAAAAAAUCGGUGGCUGCGACUGUUUAAUAAAAACACAGCACUCUGCAAACACGAAAGUGGACGUAUAGGGUGUGACGCCUGCCCGGUGCUGGAAGAUUAAAUGAUGGGGUGCAAGCUCUUGAUUGAAGUCCCAGUAAACGGCGGCCGUAACUAUAACGGUCCUAAGGUAGCGAAAUUCCUUGUCGGGUAAGUUCCGACCUGCACGAAUGGCGUAACGAUGGCCACACUGUCUCCUCCUGAGACUCAGCGAAGUUGAAAUGUUUGUGAUGAUGCAAUCUCCCCGCGGAAAGACGGAAAGACCCCAUGAACCUUUACUGUAGCUUUGUAUUGGACUUUGAACAGAUCUGUGUAGGAUAGGUGGGAGGCUUUGAAGUGUGGUCGCUAGAUCGCAUGGAGCCAACGUUGAAAUACCACCCUGGUGUGUUUGAGGUUCUAACCUAGGCCCGUAAUCCGGGUCGGGGACAGUGCAUGGUAGGCAGUUUGACUGGGGCGGUCUCCUCCCAAAGCGUAACGGAGGAGUUCGAAGGUACGCUAGGUACGGUCGGACAUCGUGCUAAUAGUGCAAUGGCAUAAGCGUGCUUAACUGCGAGACUGACAAGUCGAGCAGAUGCGAAAGCAGGACAUAGUGAUCCGGUGGUUCUGUAUGGAAGGGCCAUCGCUCAACGGAUAAAAGGUACUCUGGGGAUAACAGGCUGAUACCGCCCAAGAGUUCAUAUCGACGGCGGUGUUUGGCACCUCGAUGUCGGCUCAUCUCAUCCUGGGGCUGUAGCCGGUCCCAAGGGUAUGGCUGUUCGCCAUUUAAAGAGGUACGUGAGCUGGGUUUAAAACGUCGUGAGACAGUUUGGUCCCUAUCUUCCGUGGGCGCUGCAGAUUUGAGGAAGCCUGCACCUAGUACGAGAGGACCGGAGUGGACACACCUCUGGUGUAUCGGUUGUCACGCCAGUGGCAUUGCCGAGUAGCUAUGUGUGGAAGAGAUAACCGCUGAAAGCAUCUAAGCGGGAAACUCGUUUCAAGAUGAGAUCUGCCGGGGCCUUGAGCCCCCUAAAGAGUCGUUCAAGACCAGGACGUUGAUAGGUCGGGUGUGGAAGCGCAGUAAUGCGUUAAGCUAACCGAUACUAAUUGCUCGUGCGGCUUGACCA